rnacentral:miRNA from 1 species
GGUUUCUCUGUGUAGCCCUGGCUGUCCUGGAACUCACUCUGUAGACCAGGAUGACCUCGAACUCACAGAGAUCCACCUGCCUCUGCCUCCCGAGUGCUGGGAUUAAAGGCGUGCGCCACCAAUGCCCG